AUGCCCAAAAGAAGAAACAUACUGGUAAUGGUUUGACAAGUUUAUCCACAGGCAUAUAGCUGUACAAAAUCACACAAUAUUCUCAUUUUUAACCUCACUUUUUGUUUUAAUGUAUUAAUUGAGGUACAUUCACUUGAGAUAUUUAUAGUAACAGGUCUAGAGACUAGAAUUCGUGGUAUUUUGGACCCAACUGACCCUUUAGGCAAUGCUCAACUGUUAUGUUAGAAACCGAUUCGAAAGUAUGACCAUUUACUGGAGACAUUCGGUUCUUACCAAGGAAAGCAUUUGAUCUUUUUUCUGGCAAUGCCAUCAUGGAAAAAAAGGUCUGGAAGAGACUAAAGAAUACCUGAUCGUCAAGUAAUUAAGAAAUCACUACAAUGUUCGAGUUGCAGAGGAAUAAGUGUAGCUACUGUUAUUAGAGGACAAUACAAGUACAAAACUGUAUUGUUAAAUAUUCUUAACAAAAUCCAAGCAAAGGUGUCGUCAGAAGGUACUAAUUUGACUACAGAAGUCUAAGUUUAAGAUCGCUGAUGGGAUGCAUUCGUGUACCAAAAGCACUAGAGGACACUGCCGACAACAUUUUCAAAGUAAGUUGAAUACAGUAAUUGGAUAGGGAAACUGGAAGCCUAAUCAUAGUUUAUCUUCAUAAAAAAGUUUACUACUUUUUUGUACGUUCAACGGUCAACAUAGUAUUAACAAGAAUAUUUUCUUGUCUUAGAUUACUUUAUAUAUGAAAUCCAUUGUAAACAUGUGAUCUUAUGUGGAAAGAAAAAGUGGAGUUCAAA